rnacentral:rRNA from 1 species
UACGGGGGGGGCAAGCGGUUGUUCGGAAUUACUGGGCGUAAGGGUUCGUAGGUGGCCAACUAAGUCAGACGUGAAAUCCCUCAGCUUAACUGGGGAACUGCGUCUGAUACUGGUUGGCUUGAGUGCAGGAGAGGAACGCGGAAUUCCAGGUGUAGCGGUGAAAUGCGUAGAUAUCUGGAGGAACACCGGUGGCGAAGGCGGCGUUCUGGACUGCAACUGACACUGAGGAACGAAAGCCAGGGGAGCAAACGGG